CGACCUGAGCUCAGGCAAGGCUACCCGCUGAACUUAAGCAUAUCAAUAAGCGGAGGAAAAGAAACUAACAAGGAUGCGCUUAGUAACGGCGAGCGAACCGCGCAAAGCCCAACUUGAAAAUCUCCCUUGGAGAAUUGUAGUCUAUAGAAGUACCCUCUGUAACGGGCGCAGCUCAAGUCUCCUGGAAAGGGGCGUCAGAGAGGGUGAGAACCCCGUA
rnacentral:rRNA from 1 species